AUUGAACGCUGGCGGCAGGCCUAACACAUGCAAGUCGAACGGUAACAGGAAGAAGCUUGCUUCUUUGCUGACGAGUGGCGGACGGGUGAGUAGUGUCUGGGAAACUGCCUGAUGGAGGGGGAUAACUACUGGAAACGGUAGCUAAUACCGCAUAACGUCGCAAGCCCAAAGAGGGGGACCUUCGGGCCUCUUGCCAUCGGAUGUGCCCAGAUGGGAUUAGCUAGUAGGUGGGGUAACGGCUCACCUAGGCGACGAUCCCUAGCUGGUCUGAGAGGAUGACCAGCCACACUGGAACUGAGACACGGUCCAGACUCCUACGGGAGGCAGCAGUGGGGAAUAUUGCACAAUGGGCGCAAGCCUGAUGCAGCCAUGCCGCGUGUAUGAAGAAGGCCUUCGGGUUGUAAAGUACUUUCAGCGGGGAGGAAGGGAGUAAAGUUAAUACCUUUGCUCAUUGACGUUACCCGCAGAAGAAGCACCGGCUAACUCCGUG
rnacentral:rRNA from 1 species